GCCGAGGUGGCGGAAUUGGUAUACGCGUACGCCUUAAGAGCGUAUGAGAUUAUAUCUUGUGCGGGUUCGAGCCCCGCCCUCGGCA
rnacentral:tRNA from 2 species